UCCCCAAAGGAAGAAAUUGAAAGUAAAGCUUUAAACGUCAGUUCAACACAAACAAGUGGUUCUUCAAAUAAUAACAGCUCGCCAAACCAUACUAAUAAUAAAACUAUUGUACAUACUGCUACAUCUUUUCCUCCUCCUACUACAGUUAUUUCUACUACAAAUGGUAGUACCAGUUCUAUUAACAAAAAAGACAUGAAAAGAGUUUUGAAUGAUGAAGUUGUGACGGAUACAAAAACCGAUACAGGCAAUAUUAAAAUGGAAACAAAUAAAUAUAGUAAAAAUAACAGUUCAAAUUUGCUGAAUGAAAAUAAAGAUACAACUACCACUACUACUACUACUACUACUACUAGUCCAACAAAAAAUAAUAGUGAUGCUGAGGUACCCAACAUGUCAUUUAAUGAUUGUUUAGAUGUGUCAGAAGAAGAAAUAAAUAUUAUUUCAAAUGGUAAUACUGAUGAUGUAAUAAAUGGAAAAAAGAAUAAAAAUGUGUUAUUACCUAAAGAUGAUGAUAAUAAUCAAAGUCUUAAAGUAGAAGAACAAAAUAAAAAUCAUAUGGACCAUUAUCAAAAUGAUAAUUUAUUUAACGGCCAAUCAAGUGGUUCUUAUUCAACUGAUGUAUGUCAAAAAUAUUAUCAAUUAUAUAAUAAAGAAAUAAUGAAAAGCGAAAAUGAAUUACUUGAAGAAGGUAUUUUAGAAACUGACGAGCAAGAUAGUAUUGAACGAGUACAAGAACAAGCACAUUUGUUUAAAGCGAAUAAAGAUGUAGCAUUAUCAGAGAAUUACAAUAAAACUAAUACUGAUUAUAUACAAGCAGAAGCCUACAAUAUGAAGGAUGUCAUUUCAGCAAAAAAAGACAUAAAGCAAAAUAGUAAUAGUAGUAAUGGUACCAAUAGUAGUGAAGAGCAAAUCGAACAACGUUAUGAAAUAAAAGCUGACACAAAAGAUUAUGUACAUGGAAGCAAACCAAAAUGUGAUAAUGAAAAUAUGAGUAAAAUGUCAGCAUUCGAGAGUGAUAAACAAAAAAAAAAUGAUAAAAAGGAAGUAAAAACGACACUAAGUAAUAAAGUGUUAGACGAUCUAAUAUAUAGUAAUACUAAGAAAAAUCAAACGUCCAUUUUUACUUCUAAUGAAAAUGUAAUAGAUAUAUCAUCUAUAUCUGAAGCAACGAAAAAAAUUGUAUACUCCGAAUUAAAUUACAGUUUAAAUAAUAUGGGUUCUAAAAUAUGUACAGAUUAUAUACAACCAGAUUUGCAAAAAGAUAAUAGUAAUAAAGACUUUGAUGACUAUAUGAGUACAUCUAGUAGAUGCAAAUAUAAUACAGAUGUGUACAAUAUAGAUAUCGGCAAUGCAGAAAAAGAAAGUAGUGACAAUGAGUCUGUGGAUAAUAAUAAUAAACACAGUUCGGAUGAAAUUGAUAA
rnacentral:lncRNA from 1 species